rnacentral:rRNA from 4 species
GACGUCAAGUCAUCAUGGCCCUUACGACCAGGGCUACACACGUGCUACAAUGGCGCAUACAAAGAGAAGCGACCUCGCGAGAGCAAGCGGACCUCAUAAAGUGCGUCGUAGUCCGGAUUGGAGUCUGCAACUCGACUCCAUGAAGUCGGAAUCGCUAGUAAUCGUGGAUCAGAAUGCCACGGUGAAUACGUUCCCGGGCCUUGUACACACCGCCCGUCACACCAUGGGAGUGGGUUGCAAAAGAAGUAGGUAGCUUAACCUUCGGGAGGGCGCUUACCACUUUGUGAUUCAUGACUGGGGUGAAGUCGUAACAAGGUAACCGUAGGGGAACCUGCGGUUGGAUCACCUCCUUACCUUAAAGAAGC